AUGAUGAUAAAAGUAUAUCAUAAUAUAAACGGUUAGAACCUGAAUUCUAAUGUGAAGAUUUAUACUAGGGCGGACUGAUUUA